rnacentral:rRNA from 1 species
AGUCAUGGGGCCGUAAGGCACCGGCGAACAGCUCAGUAACACGUGGAUAAUUUACCCUCAGGUGGGGUAUAACCUCGGGAAACUGAGGCUAAUCCCCCAUAGUCAUUGCAAACUGGAAUGGUUGCAAUGAUGAAAGCAUUUGCGCCUGAGGAUAAGUCUGCGGCCUAUCAGGUAGUAGGUGGUGUAAAGGACCACCUAGCCUAAGACGGGUACGGGCCCUGAAAGGGGGAGCCCGGAGAUGGACUCUGAGACAACAGUCCAGGCCCUACGGGGCGCAGCAGGCGCGAAAACUGUGCAAUGCGCGAAAGCGCGACACGGGGAGCCUGAGUGCCUUGACUUUUUGUCAAGGCUUUUCUGAUGUCUAAAAAGCAUCAGGAAUAAGGGCUGGGCAAGACGGGUGCCAGCCGCCGCGGUAACACCCGCAGCUCGAGUGGUGAUCACUUUUAUUGAGUCUAAAGCGUCCGUAACCGGUCUUAUAAAUCUUCAGAUAAAUUCUUCCGCUUAACGGAAGAACUUCUGAAGAGACUGUAAGACUUGGGACCGGGUGAGGUUGAAUGUACUUUCAGGGUAGGGGUAAAAUCCUGUAAUCCUGAAAGGACGACCGGUGGCGAAAGCGUUCAACUAGAACGGAUCCGACGGUGAGGGACGAAGGCUAGGGGAGCAAACCGGAUUAGAUACCCGGGUAGUCCUAGCUGUAAACGCUGCCCACUUGGUGUUGCUUCUCCGUUGAGGGGGGGCAGUGCCGUAGCGAAGGUGUUAAGUGGGUCACUUGGGGAGUACGGCCGCAAGGCUGAAACUUAAAGGAAUUGGCGGGGGGAGCACCGCAACGGGA